UGAUCCUCCCACCUCGGCUUCCCAAAGUGUUGAGAUUACAGCAUGAGCCACCACACCAGCCUAAAAGGCAGUUUGAUCUUACAGAUCAAAAUAGCAGUACCCUAUUGAGAUUUGCUUGUGAGAUUGGUAAGAAACAUCUUAAAUGCAAUCAAAUAAUAAAUUACAUCUUGAUGAAUUCAUGUAUAGGUUUCUCUUCCUCAGAAGAAAUCAGAUGCUGUUGAGGGUACCAAGGCUAGAAUUUUACUCUGGUUCUCAUGCUUGCCUCCACCCAGGCUGGAUCCUGAGUGCAGUUUUUGGCAGGUGGGGUUAGCCAUGGUGGGUGCCCAGCUGCCUCUCUUCAUACAGCUGUGGUUUUGGGGAGUCAUCCUUGUAGCCCCUGGGUUGAGCCUAGCCCUGCAAAUGAAUUCACUACCCUAAAGCCCAAAUUGCAGCCUCUGUCAUUCUCUCUUGCCUUCCAGGGGAGGGAAGGGCAAUAAAUUUCAUCUUAUUAUUGUUAUUUUGGUGGUUUUAUUGAGGUUGAUGUGUGUAUGUUAGAUAAAGCUCUACGAAAUUAUAUAGCUUUUGUCAAGGGUGUAAGAGAGACUGUGCCACUUCUGGCUGCAUAAAAGGUAGUUCCAUAUCUUUAAAUAGAGCCCCAGGUCCUUAGCCACCAGAAAGGUUUUCAGGGGAAGUGUGUGCCCUCAGCUGCUGCUGGUGGGCAAGAUGGGCACAUAUGGAACAGGCUUUCCUCUGUGGCCGGGUGCGAAGCAGGUGGUGAGACACAGAGCAGUGCUGGGCUCUGCUUCUGAAACCUCCAACCUUUCCUUCCCUAGGAUAUCCCAGAAAGACUGGUGUGGGUGAUUUCCCAGGAAGACGCAGUGUGCUGAGUUCUGUGACAGUGAGCAGUGGGACGAACGGAUGUUCAUAUGCUGGCAAUGAGUAGGCCUUCCUUACGCUGGGUAAUCCAGGCUGCAGUGAGCUAUUAUCACGCCAUUGCACUCCAGCCUGGGUGACGGAAUGAGACCCUGUUUCUAAAACAGUUUAAUUGCCCAGCAUCUGUACCCUCUGGAUUCCCUUGCUUAGGUCUUCUGGAGGUGGUUUGCUGGAUGAAUACCACGUGCACAGAAGCUGGCCUUGGGUUUGAAUAUGGCGGCCAGUAGACAGCAUGUGCUUCAGUUGUGAGGCUGCCCAGGAGGUGGUUCUUCCAAGGCACAGCAUGUGCAGAGUCUAGUGCUGGAGAGGCCAGGUGGGCUGUUGACCCAUUUCCAGUUCUGUUUUCCCUCUUACGUUCCUCUGUCCCUGUCUAGGACAUGCUCUGGAGUCCGAAGACAGAGAAAAGAGAAGCGGAAGGCCUGGUGGCAACAAUGUGAAGCUGCAAAGGAGGAGAAAAUGAAACGUUGCCUGAAGACAAUGGCCAAGACGGCAGGUCCCACCCUGCACAGCCGCCAGCAUCUCUCCCCUCAGCUCUGUCUCCUCUUCUGCGUUUGGGAUCUGCACAUUUAAGCCUGAAAUUGUCCUGUGAAGUGAAGUAUGAUCGGACAGCCUCUUUUCAGCUUUUAUGAAAUGGAGACAGGAAUGUGGCUCUUGCCAAGGUCACAGGAUUGGAAUAGAGAGCCAAGCCAGCUCAGGACAUGCAAGAGCCCCAGAAGGAAAGACGGAAAAAAGCCCAGCAGGAAGGGAGAGCAAGUAACCUCUGUCCUGACGUCACAGAUGGGCCAGCAUGGAGGAGGAGGACCCCGUAAUCCUGCCCAUCUGGGACUUGGCAGGGGACCUGAGAAAAUGUACCCCAACCCAUCCUUCUGGGGCCUUUGCCUUUGACCCAUUGGCCUAGCA